GGGGAUUUAGCUCAGUGGCAUAAGCACCUGCCUUGUAAGCAGGCAGCCUUGAGUUCAAUCCCUG
rnacentral:tRNA from 1 species